GAUGAACGCUGGCGGCGUGCCUAGUACAUGCAAGUCGAGCGAACGGACGAGAAGCUUGCUUUUCUGAUGUUAGCGGCGGACGGGUGAGUAACACGUGGAUAACCUACCUAUAAGACUGGGAUAACUUCGGGAAACCGGAGCUAAUACCGGAUAAUAUUUUGAACCGCAUGGUUCAAAAGUGAAAGACGGUCUUGCUGUCACUUAUAGAUGGAUCCGCGCUGCAUUAGCUAGUUGGUAAGGUAACGGCUUACCAAGGCAACGAUGCAUAGCCGACCUGAGAGGGUGAUCGGCCACACUGGAACUGAGACACGGUCCAGACUCCUACGGGAGGCAGCAGUAGGGAAUCUUCCGCAAUGGGCGAAAGCCUGACGGAGCAACGCCGCGUGAGUGAUGAAGGUCUUCGGAUCGUAAAACUCUGUUAUUAGGGAAGAACAUAUGUGUAAGUAACUGUGCACAUCUUGACGGUACCUAAUCAGAAAGCCACGGCUAACUACGUGCCAGCAGCCGCGGUAAUACGUAGGUGGCAAGCGUUAUCCGGAAUUAUUGGGCGUAAAGCGCGCGUAGGCGGUUUUUUAAGUCUGAUGUGAAAGCCCACGGCUCAACCGUGGAGGGUCAUUGGAAACUGGAAAACUUGAGUGCAGAAGAGGAAAGUGGAAUUCCAUGUGUAGCGGUGAAAUGCGCAGAGAUGUGGAGGAACACCAGUGGCGAAGGCGACUUUCUGGUCUGUAACUGACGCUGAUGUGCGAAAGCGUGGGGAUCAAACAGGAUUAGAUACCCUGGUAGUCCACGCCGUAAACGAUGAGUGCUAAGUGUUAGGGGGUUUCCGCCCCUUAGUGCUGCAGCUAACGCAUUAAGCACUCCGCCUGGGGAGUACGACCGCAAGGUUGAAACUCAAAGGAAUUGACGGGGGCCCGCACAAGCGGUGGAGCAUGUGGUUUAAUUCGAAGCAACGCGAAGAACCUUACCAAAUCUUGACAUCCUUUGACAACUCUAGAGAUAGAGCCUUCCCCUUCGGGGGACAAAGUGACAGGUGGUGCAUGGUUGUCGUCAGCUCGUGUCGUGAGAUGUUGGGUUAAGUCCCGCAACGAGCGCAACCCUUAAGCUUAGUUGCCAUCAUUAAGUUGGGCACUCUAAGUUGACUGCCGGUGACAAACCGGAGGAAGGUGGGGAUGACGUCAAAUCAUCAUGCCCCUUAUGAUUUGGGCUACACACGUGCUACAAUGGACAAUACAAAGGGCAGCGAAACCGCGAGGUCAAGCAAAUCCCAUAAAGUUGUUCUCAGUUCGGAUUGUAGUCUGCAACUCGACUACAUGAAGCUGGAAUCGCUAGUAAUCGUAGAUCAGCAUGCUACGGUGAAUACGUUCCCGGGUCU
rnacentral:rRNA from 1 species